GGGGGCAUAGCUCAGUGGUAGAGUGCAUGCUUAGCAUGCACGAGGUCCUGGGUUCAAUCCCUAGCACCUCCA
rnacentral:tRNA from 1 species